rnacentral:rRNA from 1 species
UUAAGCGACUAAGCGUACACGGUGGAUGCCCUGGCAGUCAGAGGCGAUGAAGGACGUGCUAAUCUGCGAAAAGCGUCGGUAAGGUGAUAUGAACCGUUAUAACCGGCGAUGUCCGAAUGGGGAAACCCAGUGUGAUUCGUCACACUAUCGUUAACUGAAUACAUAGGUUAACGAGGCGAACCGGGGGAACUGAAACAUCUAAGUACCCCGAGGAAAAGAAAUCAACCGAGAUUCCCCCAGUAGCGGCGAGCGAACGGGGAGCAGCCCAGAGUCUGAAUCAGCUUGUGUGUUAGUGGAACGGUCUGGAAAGUCCGACGGUACAGGGUGAUAGUCCCGUACACCAAAAUGCACAGGCUGUGAACUCGAAGAGUAGGGCGGGACACGUGGUAUCCUGUCUGAAUAUGGGGGGACCAUCCUCCAAGGCUAAAUACUCCUGACUGACCGAUAGUGAACCAGUACCGUGAGGGAAAGGCGAAAAGAACCCCGGCGAGGGGAGUGAAAAAGAACCUGAAACCGUGUACGUACAAGCAGUGGGAGCACCUUCGGGUGUGACUGCGUACCUUUUGUAUAAUGGGUCAGCGACUUAUAUUCUGUAGCAAGGUUAACCGUAUAGGGGAGCCGCAGGGAAACCGAGUCUUAACUGGGCGUUAAGUUGCAGGGUAUAGACCCGAAACCCGGUGAUCUAGCCAUGGGCAGGUUGAAGGUUGGGUAACACUAACUGGAGGACCGAACCGACUAAUGUUGAAAAAUUAGCGGAUGACUUGUGGCUGGGGGUGAAAGGCCAAUCAAACCGGGAGAUAGCUGGUUCUCCCCGAAAGCUAUUUAGGUAGCGCCUCGUGAAUUCAUCUUCGGGGGUAGAGCACUGUUUCGGCUAGGGGGUCAUCCCGACUUACCAACCCGAUGCAAACUACGAAUACCGAAGAAUGUUAUCACGGGAGACACACGGCGGGUGCUAACGUCCGUCGUGAAGAGGGAAACAACCCAGACCGCCAGCUAAGGUCCCAAAGUCAUGGUUAAGUGGGAAACGAUGUGGGAAGGCACAGACAGCCAGGAUGUUGGCUUAGAAGCAGCCAUCAUUUAAAGAAAGCGUAAUAGCUCACUGGUCGAGUCGGCCUGCGCGGAAGAUGUAACGGGGCUAAACCAUGCACCGAAGCUGCGGCAGCGACACUAUGUGUUGUUGGGUAGGGGAGCGUUCUGUAAGCCUGCGAAGGUGUGCUGUGAGGCAUGCUGGAGGUAUCAGAAGUGCGAAUGCUGACAUAAGUAACGAUAAAGCGGGUGAAAAGCCCGCUCGCCGGAAGACCAAGGGUUCCUGUCCAACGUUAAUCGGGGCAGGGUGAGUCGACCCCUAAGGCGAGGCCGAAAGGCGUAGUCGAUGGGAAACAGGUUAAUAUUCCUGUACUUGGUGUUACUGCGAAGGGGGGACGGAGAAGGCUAUGUUAGCCGGGCGACGGUUGUCCCGGUUUAAGCAUGUAGGCUGAUUGUCCAGGCAAAUCCGGAUAAUCAAGGCUGAGGUGUGAUGACGAGGCACUACGGUGCUGAAGUAACAAAUGCCCUGCUUCCAGGAAAAGCCUCUAAGCAUCAGGUAACAUUAAAUCGUACCCCAAACCGACACAGGUGGUCAGGUAGAGAAUACCAAGGCGCUUGAGAGAACUCGGGUGAAGGAACUAGGCAAAAUGGUGCCGUAACUUCGGGAGAAGGCACGCUGGUGUGUAGGUGAAGCCCCUGCGGGUGGAGCUGAGACCAGUCGAAGAUACCAGCUGGCUGCAACUGUUUAUUAAAAACACAGCACUGUGCAAACACGAAAGUGGACGUAUACGGUGUGACGCCUGCCCGGUGCCGGAAGGUUAAUUGAUGGGGUUAUCCGUAAGGAGAAGCUCUUGAUCGAAGCCCCGGUAAACGGCGGCCGUAACUAUAACGGUCCUAAGGUAGCGAAAUUCCUUGUCGGGUAAGUUCCGACCUGCACGAAUGGCGUAAUGAUGGCCAGGCUGUCUCCACCCGAGACUCAGUGAAAUUGAACUCGCUGUGAAGAUGCAGUGUACCCGCGGCAAGACGGAAAGACCCCGUGAACCUUUACUAUAGCUUGACACUGAACAUUGAGCCUUGAUGUGUAGGAUAGGUGGGAGGCUUUGAAGCGUGGACGCCAGUCUGCGUGGAGCCAACCUUGAAAUACCACCCUUUAAUGUUUGAUGUUCUAACGUUGGCCCCUUACCGGGGUUGCGGACAGUGUCUGGUGGGUAGUUUGACUGGGGCGGUCUCCUCCCAAAGCGUAACGGAGGAGCACGAAGGUUAGCUAAUCCUGGUCGGACAUCAGGAGGUUAGUGCAAUGGCAUAAGCUAGCUUGACUGCGAGCGUGACGGCGCGAGCAGGUGCGAAAGCAGGUCAUAGUGAUCCGGUGGUUCUGAAUGGAAGGGCCAUCGCUCAACGGAUAAAAGGUACUCCGGGGAUAACAGGCUGAUACCGCCCAAGAGUUCAUAUCGACGGCGGUGUUUGGCACCUCGAUGUCGGCUCAUCACAUCCUGGGGCUGAAGUAGGUCCCAAGGGUAUGGCUGUUCGCCAUUUAAAGUGGUACGCGAGCUGGGUUUAGAACGUCGUGAGACAGUUCGGUCCCUAUCUGCCGUGGGCGCUGGAGAAUUGAGGGGGGCUGCUCCUAGUACGAGAGGACCGGAGUGGACGCAUCACUGGUGUUCGGGUUGUCAUGCCAAUGGCACUGCCCGGUAGCUAAAUGCGGAAGAGAUAAGUGCUGAAAGCAUCUAAGCACGAAACUUGCCCCGAGAUGAGUUCUCCCUGAGACUUUAAGUCUCCUGAAGGAACGUUGAAGACGACGACGUUGAUAGGCCGGGUGUGUAAGCGCAGCGAUGCGUUGAGCUAACCGGUACUAAUGAACCGUGAGGCUUAACCUU